rnacentral:rRNA from 1 species
UCUCGACCGGGGGCGACAGCAAUAUGAAGGUCAGGCUGAAGACCUUACCCGAUUAGCUGAGAGGUGGUGCAUGGCCGUCGUCAGUUCGUACUGUGAAGCAUCCUGUUAAGUCAGGCAACGAGCGAGACCCACGUCCACAGUUGCCAGCAUACCCUCCGGGGUGAUGGGUACACUGUGGAGACCGCCGCUGCUAAAGCGGAGGAAGGAGUGGGCAACGGUAGGUCAGUAUGCCCCGAAUCUCCCGGGCUACACGCGGGCUACAAUGGUUGGUACAAUGGGCAUCUACCCCGAAAGGGGAAGGAAAUCUCUUAAAGCCAAUCGUAGUUCGGAUUGAGGGCUGCAACUCGCCCUUAUGAAGCCGGAAUCCGUAGUAAUCGCGUUUCAACAGAACGCGGUGAAUACGUCCCUGCUCCUU